UGGGACGAAACGACACCGUGACGCAGUGGGCCUCUGGUCUCGUGGACAGUGAUCUGCCGCAAGAGGAAGGAUGCACGUGAGUUUUGUCCUGGCCACGGAAUUCCGGAUAAUGCAGGUGUUUGGGAGAGUGGAUCAUCAGACAGGACUGAGUAGAUGCUGAGUCUCGGGAGUGAACUGUGUGGUGCAGGACUGUAUCGGUUAUGCAGUCUCUUUAUAACGAGAGACACAUCGUGGAGGAGGCUGGCGAGUGCUCUCAACACACGUGACGGAGCGGCGCCAUGGUAACUGUGACCGUGGCCAGGAAGUCUCUUGUGCUGAACACUACAAUGUUGUGUUAUCAAGACUGUUUAUUGGUGCAGCGCAUACAGUCGGAUCACUAAGCGUGUUGUAGUGAUGAAACUAUGGAAACUAUGGCGAAUGAUUAUUGAUCGUUGGAAAAAAGCAUAGGUGUGAUAAUAAUUCGGUGCUUGAGUUACACUAACACUCCAUCACUACCGCCACCACGGCCAUCACCACCAUCACCACCGCCAUAACCACCGCCGCUACUAAGAAUCCGUGUCGUGGCAUCAUGAGGGAAAGCAGCUUGUGUGCUGUCAUCGGGACGGGGCGCUCACAACUUGGAAUCUCACACAAACCUCUCCCACACCCACCUCUAAUAUCUUCCACCACGGUAAGCCGAGGGUCAUUAUCCACUCAACUACCUGUACAUUAGCGGCGCCAGGUGAGCAUAGACUAGAGGUUCCUUCAUUACCUUACCUGUUCUUACCUGUUGUGUGCAAUUAAUACUUUACCUGUGUUGAUUACCUUUGUUUUACCUGGCAGUGUCUCGUUCUUAUUCACCUUGCCUCUGUCAGCACAACGAGACCGCCUCCUCUUGUCCUUCAGGUGUGGGAGUGAAGGAAAGGAGUGAAGGAGGUAAAAAGCGAAGACGAAUAGCAGUAGGCAGCUGAAAAUAUUCUCUUAUGGCUUCUCUCUAUUUUCGAGCGUGGCGUGACGUGGGAACACACACAC